UACGUAGGGGGCAAGCGUUGUCCGGAUUUAUUGGGCGUAAAGAGCGUGUAGGCGGCCAGAUAGGUCCGUUGUGAAAACUCGAGGCUCAACCCCGAGACGCCGAUGGAAACCAUCUGGCUAGAGUCCGGAAGAGGAGAGUGGAAUUCCUGGUGUAGCGGUGAAAUGCGCAGAUAUCAGGAAGAACACCCGUGGCUAAGGCGGCUCUCUAGUACGGUACUGACGCUGAGACGCGAAAGCGUGGGGAGCGAACAGG
rnacentral:rRNA from 1 species